rnacentral:misc_RNA from 1 species
UGAAUAGUAAAAAUAAUCAAAGGUCACUCAUGGAUACAAAAGACUGAUACAUUGUCAAAAGACUGUAAUACAUUGUUUCAUGUUCAUUUGUCCCAGGAAUCAUCGUUUUUGUCAUUCAUAUUUACUUUUUGUAACAUUGCACUAUUUAAUGUUUUAUGUGUCUUUUUUGUCUUCAAACAAUGCAUCUAUAUAUUAACAUUUUUAGAUAUUGAUUUUAAUUGCAAAUACAGUAUGUAAAUAUUUGAAAAUUAAAUGAUUGUAUUUU